rnacentral:lncRNA from 13 species
AUGAUCUCUGCUCUGAUGGAUCGGAGUUGGAGAAUAUGUACAUAUCAUGUGUCCAAACAUGUGAUUAAUGUACGCUUGAGAAGUACCUGUUUUCUGAGAUUACUGGGUGUGCGGUUCUAUAUAUGGUCCUUAGUCAGCAGACCAAUGCUACUCACAGAGAAGAAAAAUGGAAGCACACAAACCUGGGAAGACUCACUCACUGCCGAAUGGAUGAUGGACCAGGGAAAAAGCAGACCUGCAGACCCGCCAUAGGUUUGACCAUUCUUUAGCAUUGUCUCAUUUUUGGUGCUGGCCUCAAGAGUAAAAGGACACAUGAAGCUGUUUCACCUCUCUUAAGCUUAUAACCUGUGGCAGGCUCCCUGGGGUGGGACAUCUUAAACUGAAUUCAUGCUUUUUGGUGGGGUCAGGAGAUUUUCACUGGGAAGUGUGACUUUCACUUCUGACAAGCAACAACAUUGCUUGAUCAGCACGUACGUAAUUCUUAGGAAAAAAACAUUUGGCUGAGCUAAAUGGAAAAGCAUCAGGCACAGACAGAUUAAAUUUUCCUUUAAAUAAACAUGGCCUUUCAAAGAGGCA